GCAGUCGAGCGGAGAUGAGGUGCUUGCACCUUAUCUUAGCGGCGGACGGGUGAGUAAUGCUUAGGAAUCUGCCUAUUAGUGGGGGACAACAUUCCGAAAGGAAUGCUAAUACCGCAUACGCCCUACGGGGGAAAGCAGGGGAUCUUCGGACCUUGCGCUAAUAGAUGAGCCUAAGUCGGAUUAGCUAGUUGGUGGGGUAAAGGCCUACCAAGGCGACGAUCUGUAGCGGGUCUGAGAGGAUGAUCCGCCACACUGGGACUGAGACACGGCCCAGACUCCUACGGGAGGCAGCAGUGGGGAAUAUUGGACAAUGGGCGGAAGCCUGAUCCAGCCAUGCCGCGUGUGUGAAGAAGGCCUUUUGGUUGUAAAGCACUUUAAGCGAGGAGGAGGCUACUUAGAUUAAUACUCUAGGAUAGUGGACGUUACUCGCAGAAUAAGCACCGGCUAACUCUGUGCCAGCAGCCGCGGUAAUACAGAGGGUGCGAGCGUUAAUCGGAUUUACUGGGCGUAAAGCGUGCGUAGGCGGCUGAUUAAGUCGGAUGUGAAAUCCCUGAGCUUAACUUAGGAAUUGCAUUCGAUACUGGUCAGCUAGAGUAUGGGAGAGGAUGGUAGAAUUCCAGGUGUAGCGGUGAAAUGCGUAGAGAUCUGGAGGAAUACCGAUGGCGAAGGCAGCCAUCUGGCCUAAUACUGACGCUGAGGUACGAAAGCAUGGGGAGCAAACAGGAUUAGAUACCCUGGUAGUCCAUGCCGUAAACGA
rnacentral:rRNA from 1 species